CCGGAGGAGCCGAGCGUGAAACGCGAGGCAGCGCCGCCAGCCGCGGGCCGCCCGGAGACCGGCCGCGCUGCCCACAGACAGGAGCCUCCGGAGCGCCCCGCUGGCCAGCGUGCCCGAAGCGCCAGCCCGGCCCGGCCUCUCCUGUCACUGGCUCGCCCCGCCCGGCCCCGGCCCCGGGGCGGGGCCCACCCGGGGGCAGGGCCACGGCGGGGGCGGAGCCGACGGGGGCGUGUGGGGGAGCCCUGAGAGCGAAGGCGCGUGUUCGCGCGCGUCCGUGAGGCCGCGUGUGUGAGGCGAUGUACACUGAGAGGCCGUAGGCCUCCUGCUCUGCUUUGUUUCCUAUUAAAACUAUUUUUGGGAAAUUGCCAUCUUGUAUUAACCAAGGAAGAUUAGAAAACUUUACAUAGAAACAUUUCUGAUAAAAAGCACUUCCAUUUUGGAUUAAUAGGAUGGUAGAGCUGGAAAAUUUAAAAAAAAACCUUAAGAGAGCAUCUAUCUAUUCUACCUAUGGAUUUACUGAUUGAUGUAUUUAUUUGAGAGAGAGAGAGAAUGAGCAGGAGAGGCAGAGGGAGAGGGAGAAUCCCAAGCAGACUCCAUGCUGAACAUCAUCCAGUAAGGAUUACCCCGAGGUCGCCACACUUAGAGGAAGUCCAGGCAAGAAGGAGAGACCCGGUGAAAGUGUUCCAAUUGAUACCUCUGUUGACAUCACAACUGACAAAUAGCAUCAGCCACCAGACAAAUGAGAGAAGACAUCUCCAGAUGAUGCCAGCUCCCAGCCCUUGAGUCACCCCUAGCCAUUAUGUCUUCCCAACUGAGGCCCCAGACUAUGAGCACAAACAAGGUAUUUGAAUUAUGCCUUGUCCAAAUUCCUGAUCCACAGAAUCUGUGAGCAUAAUAAAAUGCUUCUUUAAGCUAC